rnacentral:tRNA from 1 species
GCUGUGAUGGUGUAACGGCAGCAUGCGAGCCUGUGGAGCUCUCGAUCCGAGUUCAAAUCUCGGUCACGGCC